GAAGCUGUGCCUGAAUUUUAAAGGACCACUUUGAUAGAGUGUCUUAUGGGGGUUAAAGUCCCCCCGGCUUCU
rnacentral:tRNA from 1 species